GAUGAACGCUGGCGGCGUGCCUAAUACAUGCAAGUCGAGCGAACGGACGAGAAGCUUGCUUCUCUGAUGUUAGCGGCGGACGGGUGAGUAACACGUGGAUAACCUACCUAUAAGACUGGGAUAACUUCGGGAAACCGUAGCUAAUACCGGAUAAUAUUUUGAACCGCAUGGUUCAAAAGUGAAGGACAGUCUUGCUGUCACUUAUAGAUGGAUCCGCGCUGCAUUAGCUAGUUGGUAAGGUAACGGCUUACCAAGGCAACGAUGCAUAGCCGACCUGAGAGGGUGAUCGGCCACACUGGAACUGAGACACGGUCCAGACUCCUACGGGAGGCAGCAGUAGGGAAUCUUCCGCAAUGGGCGAAAGCCUGACGGAGCAACGCCGCGUGAGUGAUGAAGGUCUUCGGAUCGUAAAACUCUGUUAUUAGGGAAGAACAUAUGUGUAAGUAACUGUGCACAUCUUGACGGUACCUAAUCAGAAAGCCACGGCUAACUACGUG
rnacentral:rRNA from 1 species